rnacentral:tRNA from 1 species
GUCCAGGGUAGCCUAGUGGACAUGGCAUCUGCCCGGUAAGCGUAACACUGUGGGUUCGAUUCCCAUCUCGGGACA